GGAACAAUCACAGAGGACGACGAGAACUUUGUUGUGAGCCGACUACAGAGAGAGCUCCAACACACGGGAAUCAAACAAUACAACUGCAGCAACACAUCGCAUACAACACAGAGUGAACAUUCACCAGAGAAAGCUUCCCCAUAUUCCGAGGACAAUCAAAGUCUCCCAAUUACUUAUAUCAUCGGUAAGUACUUCAAAAUGAUAUCCUAUACCAGGAU